rnacentral:rRNA from 1 species
ACCAGUAGGGCGGGGAAUAACGCCAGAAGUAAAGUUUGGUACUAACUACCGCAUACGCCCUUCGGGGGAAAGCAGGGGCUCUUCGGACCUUGCACUAUUGGAUGAGCCUGCGUGAGAUUAGCUAGUUGGUGAGGUAUGGCUCACCAAGGCGACGAUCUCUAGCUGGUCUGAGAGGAUGAUCAGCCCCACUGGGACUGAGACACGGCCCAG